rnacentral:rRNA from 1 species
CAGUCGAACGAAGCAUUUAGAACAGAUUACUUCGGUUUGAAGUUCUUUAUGACUGAGUGGCGGACGGGUGAGUAACGCGUGGGUAACCUGCCUUGUACUGGGGGAUAGCAGCUGGAAACGGCUGGUAAUACCGCAUAAGCGCACAAUGUUGCAUGACAUGGUGUGAAAAACUCCGGUGGUAUAAGAUGGACCCGCGUCUGAUUAGCUAGUUGGUGAGAUAACAGCCCACCAAGGCGACGAUCAGUAGCCGACCUGAGAGGGUGACCGGCCACAUUGGGACUGAGACACGGCCCAGACUCCUACGGGAGGCAGCAGUGGGGAAUAUUGCACAAUGGAGGAAACUCUGAUGCAGCGACGCCGCGUGAGUGAAGAAGUAAUUCGUUAUGUAAAGCUCUAUCAGCAGGGAAGAUAGUGACGGUACCUGACUAAGAAGCUCCGGCUAAAUACGUGCCAGCAGCCGCGGUAAUACGUAUGGAGCAAGCGUUAUCCGGAUUUACUGGGUGUAAAGGGAGUGUAGGUGGCCAUGCAAGUCAGAAGUGAAAAUCCGGGGCUCAACCCCGGAACUGCUUUUGAAACUGUAAGGCUAGAGUGCAGGAGGGGUGAGUGGAAUUCCUAGUGUAGCGGUGAAAUGCGUAGAUAUUAGGAGGAACACCAGUGGCGAAGGCGGCUCACUGGACUGUAACUGACACU